AAUUAAAUCCAACACCACAGCUAUAAAGAGCGUCUUAGAAUGAGUAAAAAUGCAAAGAUAGGUUGCAAAAUGUUGUAAAAUGAAGAAAAUAUAGCCCGGUGAAGUUCGCAAAUUUUGUAUAUAUUUGUAACAACUUUCGGCUCAAAAAUGGUUAUUUUCCCACACGUAAUACAAAUAUAUGCAAAAUUUGCGAAGGGCUAUAUUUCCUCAUUUUACAACAAUUCGCAACCAAACUUUGCAUUUUUACUAAUUUUAAGAUGCUCUUUCCAGCUAUGGUAAUGCAUUUCGUU